rnacentral:rRNA from 1 species
GACGAACGCUGGCGGCGUGCUUAACACAUGCAAGUCGAACGGAAAGGCCCUGCUUUUGUGGGGUGCUCGAGUGGCGAACGGGUGAGUAACACGUGAGUAACCUGCCCUUGACUUUGGGAUAACUUCAGGAAACUGGGGCUAAUACCGGAUAGGAGCUCCUGCUGCAUGGUGGGGGUUGGAAAGUUUCGGCGGUUGGGGAUGGACUCGCGGCUUAUCAGCUUGUUGGUGGGGUAGUGGCUUACCAAGGCUUUGACGGGUAGCCGGCCUGAGAGGGUGACCGGCCAAAUUGGGACUGAGAUACGGCCCAGCCUCCUACGGGAGGCAGCAGUGGGGAAUAUUGCACAAUGGGCGGAAGCCUGAUGCAGAAACGCCGCGUGCGGGAUGACGGCCUUCGGGUUGUAAACCGCUUUCGCCUGUGACGAAGCGUGAGUGACGGUAAUGGGUAAAGAAGCACCGGCUAACUACGUG